rnacentral:rRNA from 1 species
UCCUACGGGAGGCAGCAGUGGGGGAUAUUGCACAAUGGGCGAAAGCCUGAUGCAGCGACGCCGCGUGAGGGAAGAAGGUCUUCGGAUUGUAAACCUCUGUUUUCGGGGACGAUAAUGACGGUACCCGAGGAGGAAGCCACGGCUAACUACGUGCCAGCAGCCGCGGUAAUACGUAGGUGGCAAGCGUUAUCCGGAAUUACUGGGUGUAAAGGGAGCGUAGGCGGGCAGACAAGUCAGAUGUGAAAUACCGGGGCUCAACUCCGGGGCUGCAUUUGAAACUGUAUGUCUUGAGUGAUGUAGAGGUAAGCGGAAUUCCUAGUGUAGCGGUGAAAUGCGUAGAUAUUAGGAGGAACACCAGUGGCGAAGGCGGCUUACUGGGCAUUUACUGACGCUGAGGCUCGAAAGCGUGGGGAGCAAACAGGAUUAGAUACCCUGGUAGUCC